GCGGGGCAUUGUGGCAUUUACUUGUAGUCCCAGCAACUCACUACUCAGGAGGCUGAGGCUGGAGGAUUGCUUGAGUCCAGGAGUUCUGAGCUGUAGUGCCCUAUGCUGACUGGUGUCUAAACAAAGUUCAGCAUCAAUAGGGUGACUUCCCAGGAGUGGGAGACCACCAUGUUGACGAAGGAGGGGUGAACCAGCCCAGGUCAGAAAUGAAGCAGUUCAAAACUCCUGUGCUGAUAAGUAAUGGGAUCAUACCUGUGGAUAGCCACUGCACUCCAGCAGCCUGGGCAACAGAGCAAGACCUUAUCUCAU
rnacentral:SRP_RNA from 1 species